GACGAACGCUGGCGGCGUGCUUAACACAUGCAAGUCGAACGGAAAGGCCCUGCUUUUGUGGGGUGCUCGAGUGGCGAACGGGUGAGUAACACGUGAGUAUCCUGCCCUUGACUUUGGGAUAACUUCAGGAAACUGGGGCUAAUACCGGAUAGGAGCUCCUGCUGCAUGGUGGGGGUUGGAAAGUUUCGGCGGUUGGGGCUGGACUCGCGGCUUAUCAGCUUGUUGGUGGGGUAGUGGCUUACCAAGGCUUUGACGGGUAGCCGGCCUGAGAGGGUGACCGGCCACAUUGGGACUGAGAUACGGCCCAGACUCCUACGGGAGGCAGCAGUGGGGAAUAUUGCACAAUGGGCGGAAGCCUGAUGCAGCAACGCCGCGUGCGGGAUGACGGCCUUCGGGUUGUAAACCGCUUUCGCCUGUGACGAAGCGUGAGUGACGGUAAUGGGUAAAGAAGCACCGGCUAACUACGUG
rnacentral:rRNA from 1 species